GUCAGUUCAAUUAGGGCACGCUUCCAGUAGGUUCUGAAACCCAACACAGCUCCCGCAGUCGACCUCUGGAACUUGGUUAUCUUUUCCGCCAACAGUGUUGAGAAUCAGAAUUCAGAACCCAUACAUCUUCUAUCCCUUAUUUAUAUCGCUGUAUCGGCGCGUGCCAUAGCUUGAACCAAAGUGCUGCUCCGAAUCCACCUUUCUUCGCGCGUAGAUUCUCACGCGCAGUCUCCGCCACACACUCUUCUCUCCGUUCGGUAGCGAUUGGCUUUAGAAGAUGUCGGGCGGUUUCUUUAGAGGCACAUCUGCGGAUCAGGACACUCGGUUUUCGAACAAGCAAGCGAAGCUGAUGAAAUCGCAGAAGUUUGCACCGGAAUUGGAGCAUCUGGUGGACAUGACGAAGGUGAAUAUGGAAGUGAUUAAGCCUUGGAUCACCAGAAGGGUGACCGAGCUUCUUGGGUUUGAAGAUGAAGUGCUUAUUAACUUCAUACACAGUCUUCUGGAUGCAAAGGAAGUGAAUGGGAAAGAAGUUCAAAUACAAAUUACAGGAUUUAUGGAAAAGAACACUGGAAAGUUCAUGAAAGAGCUUUGGAUGCUGCUUCUCAGUGCGCAGAAAAAUGCCAGUGGUGUUCCUCAGCAGUUCUUGGAUGCCAAGGAAGAAGAACUCCUGAAGAAGAAGGCUGAAAGUGAUCUGAUUGCAAGUGAAAUUCAGAGGAAAAAAGAUAAGGAAGGUAGAGAGAUCAUGGAAGAGAGGUUGAAGAAACUGGACGGUGGAUUUGAUUCGAAGGAUAAUGAUACUGCAUCAGAUCCAACUUUGAAGCCCAGGGAUUCAGGGUACUACGAGCGGGAUGGGAAGGAAACUGAUAAGAGGAAUGGUGUAAGAGCAAGGAGCAGGUUUUCUAGGUCUCCACAUUCACCUGCAGUUUCCACUUCGCCUCAUCGAGGCUCACCUUCAAGGUCAAUGAGCAAAUCAUUUUCAAAUUCUCGAAGUUAUUCAGGUGGUAGACACAGGUCAAGGAGUAUAUCUAGGUCUCCAGAGGCUCGAGGUCGCUCUCGUUCUUUUGAAAGGAUUCGUCAUUCUCCACGACGACGGUCUAUUUCUCCUCACAGGCAUUCACCACGACGUUCUCCUUAUAGGAGGAUACCUUAUUCAAGAAGAUCUAGAUCUCCUUCUCCUGUACGACGUAGAAUGCAUUCUCCAGUUCAUCGUAGAUCACCAUCUUUUCGACGACGUAGAUCACCUUCUCUUGUGCGACGGCGUAGACCACCUUCUCCAAUACGUCGACGUAGAUCACCUUCCCCUGUGCGUCGGCGUAGAUCACCUUCCCCUGGGCGCCGACGUAGAUCACCUUCCCCCGGGCCUCGACACAGAUCACCUUCUCCCGGGCCUCGACACAAAUCACCUUCUCCUGGGCGCCAUCAUAGAUCACCAUCACCUCUUGGACGACGAAGGUCACUCUCACCUAGACGACGAAGAUCAGUUGUUACUCGGCAUAGGUCACCUUCACUAGUACGCCGAAUACCACCAACCAAUGUGCGGAGAAGAUCAGACUCCCCCAUGCAAUCCCCCUCCCCCAUACGACGAAGGUAUGGUAGUAGAACUCCUCCACACUCUCCAUCUCCAUUGCGACGUAGAUCACCUAUUCCUGGUAAGCAAAGAUCUCCUAGUAUCUCCCCACAGAGGUCUCCUCGAGAUGAAUGGAGUUCUCAAUCUCCAAUACGGCGUGUAUCUCCAUCUCCAAUCAGGAAAAAUUCUCCAAGACACAAAAGAAGUCCCUUGCCGUCUUCUAUGGGGAGAGUCAGAACACAAGAAAGAUUGUCAUCUGAGACUCGGCAACCCUCUAGUCCCCUGGGGUCUACACGAAGAGAUAAAAGUGGCAAAGCUUCACACUAUAAAUCACAAGAUUCAAUGUCCACACAAGAGAAGUCUCCAAUUCGAUCUGUAUCUCCAGAAGAGAGGAGUGAGACAAGCAGUGAAGGUCGAAGUCCUCAUGAGAGCCCUAUGAAACAAAGAAGAGAAAAGUUGUCCAAUGAAAGAAGCAUGAGUCCUCUGAAGAAACAAAGAACCCAGAAACCUAGCCGUGACAGCCCAGAUACAAGAGAAGAAGCAGAAGAAACAUACUAUUCCAGAGAAAGCAGAGAUCCAAAAAUGAAUUCAUCACAAAAGAUAUCAAAACAUUCCCCCAUCAGUAAGCGAAAAGGUUCACCUGCAAAAUUUCGUCAUGAGGAUUUCUCUCCUGAAAGGGUGUCAGGUCAUACAGCUUCUGAACAUCAUUAUGAUAACGAUGAUUGGAGUAAGAAAGGCCGGGAGAUAAAACGUGAUAAAUCUUCCAGACAGGGCAAUGAAUUUCCUGCUCAAAAGUCAUCAAUCAACAAAGAAACUUUUUCCAGGGAGAAGCCUCAAGAAUCUUAUGCUGUAGAUGUUAAAAAAUCAGAUGACAAGGACCAAUCCCGUUCAAACUAUGCCAAAAGUAGUGGUCGACACCACAAAUCCGAAGCCACUCAAGAUUUAGUUGGAAAAGGUGAUCGUGUCAAUCACAGUGCUUCAUAUGAUUCUGUUUCUGAGGAUAGUGGUAAGCAUAGACGGGAGGGAAAGGAUAGGAAAAGGCAUAAAAGGUCUGAGAAAAAGUAUGCAUCUUCUGAUGAGGAUUAUAGUGAUGAUUCUGAGUUAGAGGACAGGAAAGAGGCUAAGAGGAGGAGAAAAGAGGAGAAGAAGCUGCGGAAGGAGGAGAAGCGUCGAAGACGUGAAGAGAAGCGACGCAGAAGGGAAGAACGGCGUGCAGAGAAGCUGAAAAUGAAGAGUAAAACAGACGAUAUUUCAGAUGAUGAGGAAGCUAAACAAAUGGGUUAUCAUCAAAGUGAUAGUGAAGAUGAGCAAAAGAAGCUUGAGAUUGAAUUGCGGAACAAGGCUCUUGAAUCCCUCAAAGCAAAGAGGGGCGUGAAUAACUAAAUGCAUCAAAUCCAAGUUUUAAGUUGUUUUAUGCUUUAAAAACUUAUUGAGAAAUAUCUUAGCUUGUUAAGGAACUUGGCUUUACAAAUGUUAUGUUUUUUUAUUCAUUGGUAAGUGUUUGAUGUCAUCUAUCUUUAAUGCUGGCAGCGGAAAUGGAUAAAUGACGCUUUCUGAGCAAAUCUGUUGAGUACAACUCUAUGCAGACAUUGUCCUAUAUUUACUGAUGAAUUUUAUGUCAACCAGAUGACCUGGUGGGAAGACCAUGUGCAGACCUUUAUUUUGAACUUCAAUUCAGGUGAAGUUUUUCAUUCUUUUAGUUCUAGAAUAGCUUCAUAGUAAAUCUGUUGUAUAUACGUAGGUGGUUCUUUCUGAUUGUGUAUUUUUCAAAACUAAACAUUGGCAUCUCGGGAGUUUUUCCUGGGCUGUGUCCCGGAAUUCUCCAUGAUUUAUUUGUUGGGUCCAUCGAGGUUGAUGUAGUUGUAUGCUUUGUACAAAUGUGUUGUCGUGUACUUACUUUGAUUGUGUGCAAGAAUUUGGUGAUAUCUUUUAAGUUUUAAGCAUUCUGGUCUA